UAGAGAUGGGAAGAUGUCCAAGACUUCAUUGCAGCUGGGGCUGCAGCUGAUGGCGUUGGGUUUGCACUGGGCUCUGUUGCACGGUGUCAUCCCUCUUUGAGGAAUUGUUGGUUGAGAUCCCCUGGGAAGCCGGCCUUAGGGACAAAGGAAUGGAACGGAGCUGCAUGGAACUCCUUAGGGACGCCUGUCUGAGAGCACAGGAGCUCUCCAAAAAUUUCUCACACUGGAUGGGCUGGGCUGCACCACGGGGAGGUGUUGGGAAGCACAGCGGCUGAAUGUGCCACUGCAGAGCCCACUCACAGCCAGGGCGCAUCCCCAGACUGCUCAUUUCUGGGCUCUCUUACCACCCAUGCAAGCACCUCCAUGAGGCCAGUGUGCCAAGCAGACUCCACCAUGCGGCAUUUCCCAGCAGAUCCCCCCAUGCUGCUUCUCCAGACUGCAUGUGCAGCUGCAAGCAGGAAUUCCCAGAGGAGCAGAAGAACUCUCCGGGCUCUGCUGUUAUCCUACAAGGCAUCAGCGUGGGGCCGGAUAAACCCAACGGAUCAAGGGCAGCUUGGCUGGUCAAUGGGAGGCAGCCAAGGCAAACAGCAGUGGCUCCCAGACCUCAACAGGAGCCCCUCGGUGGCUCACUACACUUCAUUUGCUCUUUUGCUUUUAGGAGAAGGGGUGAGGUGUGGGGCUGGGCAUGACAACAUGUGGGCUCUCGAGCGAACCCCCCCAGGGCCGAUGGAAACUGCGUAC
rnacentral:lncRNA from 1 species